GAAUUGCUUGCUUGAGUUGAGUUGCAGCAGGUGUGGUGUGGAUCCAAAGAUGUAAUAUAGUUUCAAUUGGAUUAAAAAUAUAAAAUAUAAAAUAUAAAAUAAUUGGUCAUAUUCAAUUCACAGCCGUGAAAAUUGACCAUUUCAUUCUCAUUCCUCUAUUAUCUUAAAGUCUUUAACCACGGUAGGUGUGUGUGGAUCAAAAGAUGUAUAUAAUUUCAAUUGGGUUAAAAAUAGAAAAUACAAAAUAAUUGGUCAUAUUCAAUUCAUAGCCGUGAAAAUGGAUCAUUACCUUCUUAUUCCUCAAUUACCUUUAAACCAAAACGAUGAUGUUUUAAUUAGUAGUUAAGACUGAGGGUCUGUCAAUGAGUUACUAUUAAUAUAGUGAUUAAGAAGACUAUUCAAUCUUCUAAGUCUUGGUAAUCGAUUAUGCUUAAAACCGAAGCAUAUUUUUAUUACUGGGUUGAUCACAUUUUAUUCACUUGAAUAAUUGUUGUCAUGCCCGACGACACUUCGGACAAAAGCACCCCCAUCAACUCCAGAACUGUUAUAUUGUCAUUGAAGAAAUGCAGCUCUUGAAAAUCCUCUCGAACAAACAGUCUAUCAUUCUGGCUUCACAAGAAUUUCAACCCAAAAUCUGGCUCCAGAGUUGGUGCUAGUGCUGGCGCCUGAUCAGGUUGUGCUAUAGCUACAAGUGCUCUUCUGGGCAACAAUCCCCUCACUCUGCCACUCGCCAUGAUCCCUGCUGCUUUCUCACCUGCAAAACAGACAUAUAUGUAAACUAUUGAUCUUGACAAAAUCGUAUAAUGAAUUUCAAAUAAUUUAUUACUGUACAUCACAUACGAUUGGAGUCCAAGGAGGGUUUUGCAGAGGAUGACAUGCGGACAAGUGUAGGGGUGACGACUGUCAGGAGAGCCCAAAAGAAUAAGAUCAAAGCAUAGCUUCUCCCAUUCAUUUGUUGGGGAAAAUAUGCAUAUGAUAGGUAAGUUUUGUACUGGCUGCAAGGUUCAAGGCUUUUAUAGCAGUUUGGAUGGUAGGAGAAGAUACCUUUGGUUGAGGGCUUAGCUUAACUUAGCUGGCCUUGUUUUAGAUGCCAAUUACAUAACUUCUCGUCGCCAUAUAAAAUUUUGGAACAAUUACAUAUUAUAGUACAUUUAUAAAAGUAAUUACAAAAAUCAUACAGUUAUAAAAUAAUUACAAAAAUAUGACAAUUUACCAUAUAUAUUUACAAUACUAAUUAUAUUAGGA
rnacentral:lncRNA from 1 species